rnacentral:rRNA from 1 species
AUGGCGGCGCUCCGGCUAGCGUUGAGGAGGUUUUGCGACCGUGCGCUCGGGAGAUCAGCGGGCAUUUACGAGCUCAAGGCUGCCAAGGAAUUCCCCGACAUUGAUCCUGGGCAUCUCAAGGCUGCCAGGAAAUUCCCCAAACUUCGUGUCAAGGAUGCCGAUGCUACGGCUCUGAAUGUCUUCAAGAUUCUCCGGGACAGUCCAGUCGAUGGUCAUAAAGAUGUAACCCUUCGUGAAGUGCGCAUGACUCUGAGGACCUUGGCUGAGAUUCAGGAAGAAGAAGAAUGA